AGCCAUACCUGAGGUGGUCAUUUGCCCUGAGAGCUUCACCUGGGGCCUCCACCCACACUCUGUGCUAAGGGGUGGGUCCUUGACUCCAUCUCAGCUCAGACCUGAGGCUCUCCUCUCUCCAAGCUGUGCUGUAGGGAUGUCUGCCCGUGGAUCUUGUUGAUGUGGUUCCUGAAUUGUUGGCUGUUCUUGUCUUGACCCUGGAUGUUCCUUGAGCUUGAUGAUGACUGGACUGUGUCUGACCCUGCCCUGAAUUCCCAGCCUGUGCUGUGGAUUCAGGUGAAGUUGGCUGCCACCUGCACUGCUCUGCUCCCUCCUCUCAGUUUCUGUGGGUCUGAGGCAUGGAGAAACAACAGCACUGAGCUCCACUUACAGCUGACCAAGGCAAUUCAGGAUUGCCUCCUGGAUUGUCAGACCCUGGCUUCUCGAUCCCGCUCAAGCAAGGAUGGAAACCAGCUCUGAAAUGCUUUAGGAGGGAUGCAGGAUCCAGAGGUGGGAUGCCAAGGUCUGGAGUCUCGCACCUCCCCUCCAGUUUUGGGAUGGCUGCUCUAAGGCCUGAAGACACUUCUAGAGCCAUCCCCUGAGUCACCAAACUCCACCUUUCCACCAGAAAAAGCUUUUGCAUCAUCUCCAGAGCCAGGAGCUGCUGCCUCACACCGGAGCACUCUGGAUCUGUCUCCCAGAAAUUCAGUGUCUGCCCAGCAACAUCCUGCCCUGAAGGAGAGAAGUUCCCAGCCCCUGCCAAGGAUCAACAUCAAGAACAUGUCCCACAGAGACAAGGCCACACAGCAGCUUCCAUGUGUCAGCAUUCCCACCAAGUCCUUCCAACAGGCAGCCCAAAUUCAGCUCCUCACACACAUAGAGUUACGGAGAAAUUGCUGUCUAACAGAUCCUUUGUGGACUUCCGACCAAAACCAUCCAGUGCAACAAAUGAACACAGGACAGUCAGAAGGGAAGGGGUAGCCAGCUGACCAAAUCCCAGGCUCAUCCAGGCACCAUCUCCCACAGCAUCAUUCAGGAACUGAGAUGCCAAACCACCAUACCCAGCAUGGAAAAACACAAAACAAAAAAACAAAGCUUUAUAUCUUCUCUGGUUUUAUUCACAAACAUUCCCCGGAGCCCGGCACUGUUCGUGCCCCAGGCGUGUGCAGAGUCCCAGGGAGGAACCUGCCCCAGGGACAGAUCUGCUGUCAGCAGGGGCUCACAGAAGACCCAGAGAGUCUGUUCAGGGCACAGACUGUCUCUGAUGGAGCAGCUUUGUGUUUAUGCAAACCCGAUGACUCCAGUUGGUGAUUAUCUGCUGCUGGCAUCCCUCUGCUGCCAAGAAGCCUCUACCAACAUCCCUGUCCUGCUGUUCCAGGCACUGCAGAUUUGUAGAGCCUGAGGCAGUCCCAGCCAGGCAGGAGGUGGGCAGAGAGAAGGGAACUGCCUUGCUAAAGGUCACAGAGCAGAAGGAAAACCAGCACCCUGAACCCUGCAAAGGCUCCAGACAAUUUGUCAAGCAGCCACUCAUCCCAGUGUUAUCUCAGAGUCCGUGCUGGCCAAAUCUGUCGAGGACAUGAGCAACAGCAUUUUAAUGGUACCCAUAAAUAGUUUAUUUAAGGCUGAGACUUGGUGACUACAGCACUGUCAUUAUCAUGCCUGUAAUGAACCGUCUCUGAUAAUAAAUAACCCAGGAUAACUCCCAACAUCAAAAAUGUUUCUGUCCUAAGUUGCUCCCAUCUCUGUCCUAUCAAUCAGAAAGUCUGAGUGUUUGCAACAGCUCAUACAGUAAAUUGACUUCAGCUUUCUUCUUUCCAAAUACUGAAACUGGCUUUUUCCAGGGCACUGCCAUGUAAUUUACAGCUCUAUCACCACCUCCUUAAUAGCUGCCAAGUUCUUUGGGGUCCUUUGAAAGUGAACAUAAUAAAAAGAUACGAGCUGAGACUGACCAUGGGUUUCAAG